rnacentral:lncRNA from 1 species
UAUGAACAGGGUAUCUAUCAGAAAGGUGUUCUUAGUUCAAGCUUUUGUGAAUCUGAACAAGAAUAAGUAAAAGUACUAGAAGGAAAUUAGUCAAACAUGUUUGAGCAUUUUGGUCAUAUUACUAAUUUUCGUCAAAAGCUUAUAGUAAUGUCGGUUGAUGUAAUCAUGUGUUAGUCUAUGCUUGUUCAUAACAUGAAGUUUCCUUUUUCUAUUCAAUGUUGGUUUUGGCUCAUUCUAAAGCUACAUCUUUAUCAGAGAAAUAUCUAACUCUUAUAAAUUUCAAAUACCAAUCCUACGCAUUUUAAGCCUAAGUAUUUCAGAUAAUCCUAUUUCUUCUAGCAGGAAGCAGUUUGCAAUUUCUAUUUCAAAUAAUCCUAUCCUUUUUUCAAAUUGGAAAAACUACAUAAUUAAACGGCAAUAGUAUUCUUCGAUUACAUCACAUAUUGAUCAUUUCAUCAUAGUAAAAUCAAAACAUUUAAGAAGUUUUGAGUUCAUAUUAGCUUUGUUCAUAUAAGAAGUUUGAAAUACCUAAUUCUUCAUACUCAAUCAAAACAUACAAAUCUACCA